GAAGGCACGGAAGGGACAUGCCACAGCACGAGAAAAGAGAACGGAUCCAACGUAUGAGUACGUUGGAAAGCUAGUCCAGGAGGCGAUGGCCAGCAACGAGCAGUGCACGUCCCUCGAUGAGGCAGCAAUAGCCAAGAAGCGCAUCUUUCCGGCACCCAUGAAUGCCGCCUUUACAAGGCCUUCCAAAAGGGAACUCGUGGAGGAAAAGAGGUCCCGGUUCGGCCAGGUUACCCCGUGAGGGACCUCCUCAAAUCCCUCCUGUCACCCGUGCACUCGAUGGACACCUGCCUCGGCCAAGCGAACACGCACGGAAGGGGGGAUCUUGCAGACCCGCUCCUUAUCCUGUUACGAGAGCCCGAC